rnacentral:rRNA from 1 species
GUUGAACGCUGGCGGCGGGCCUAACACAUGCAAGUCGAGCGGAUGAAGGGUGCUUGCUCCUGGAUUCCGAGGCGGACGGGUGUGUAAUGCCUAGGAAUCUGCCUGGUGGUGGGGGAUAACGUCCGGAAACGGGUGCUGAUAACGCAUGCUAAUAGCGGGUGAUAGUGGGGGAUGUUUGGAACUUACGCUAUCAGAUGAGCCUAGGUCGGAUUAGCUAGUUGGUGGGGUAAAGGCCUACUAGGGCAACGAUCCGUAACUGGUCUGAGAGGAUGAUCGGCCACACGGGAACGGGAACACGCUCCAGACUCCUACGGGAGGCAGCAGUGGGGAAUAUUGGACAAUGGGCGAAAUCAUGCUCCAGCAAGGCCGGGGGUGUGAAAAAGGUCUUGGGUUUGUAAAGCACGUUAAGUUGGGAGGAAGGGCAUUAAGUUGAUACCUUGCUGUUGUGACGGUACCAACAGAAUAAGCACCGGCUAACUACGUG